rnacentral:rRNA from 1 species
AUUGAACGCUGGCGGCAGGCCUAACACAUGCAAGUCGAGCGGAGCGGCGGACGGGUGAGUAAUUCCUAGGAAUCUGCCUGGUAGUGGGGGAUAACGUCCGGAAACGGGAGCUAAUACCGCAUACUAUCAGAUGAGCCUAGGUCGGAUUCGCUAGUGGGUGGGGUAAAGGCCUACCAGGGCGACGAUCCGUAACUGGUCUGAGAGGAUGAUCAGUCACACUGGAACUGAGACACGGUCCAGACUCCUACGGGAGGAAGCAGUGGGUAAUAUUGGACAAUGGGCGAAAGCCUGAUCCAGCCAUGCCGCGUGUGUGAAGAAGUUUUUCGGAUUGUAAAGCACUUUAAGUUGGGAGGCGUUACCCGCAGAAGAAGCACCGGCUAACUCCGUGCCAGCAGCCGCGGUAAUAC